AUUGAACGCUGGCGGCAGGCUUAACACAUGCAAGUCGAGCGGAGAGAUGGUGCUUGCACUAUCACUUAGCGGCGGACGGGUGAGUAAUGCUUAGGAAUCUGCCUAUUAGUGGGGGACAACAUCUCGAAAGGGACGCUAAUACCGCAUACGUCCUACGGGAGAAAGCAGGGGAUCACUUGUGACCUUGCGCUAAUAGAUGAGCCUAAGUCGGAUUAGCUAGUUGGUGGGGUAAAGGCCUACCAAGGCGACGAUCUGUAGCGGGUCUGAGAGGAGGAUCCGCCACACUGGGACUGAGACACGGCCCAGACUCCUACGGGAGGCAGCAGUGGGGAAUAUUGGACAAUGGGGGGAACCCUGAUCCAGCCAUGCCGCGUGUGUGAAGAAGGCCUUAUGGUUGUAAAGCACUUUAAGCGAGGAGGAGGCUCUUUUGGUUAAUACCCAAGAUGAGUGGACGUUACUCGCAGAAUAAGCACCGGCUAACUCUGUGCCAGCCGCCGCGGUAA
rnacentral:rRNA from 1 species